GACGACGCUGGCGGCGUGGAUUAGGCAUGCAAGUCGAACGGUAUCAUCCUUUCGGGGGUGAGAGAGUGGCGAACUGGUGAGUAACACGUAGGUUAUCUACCCUCAAGACGGGACAACCCAGGGAAACUUGGGCUAAUACCGGAUGUGAGCAACUUUUAGUUGUUUGAAAGGUGGCGUAAGCUGUCGCUUGGGGAUGAGCCUGCGUCCUAUUAGUUAGUUGGUGAGGUAACGGCUCACCUAGGCAAUGAUAGGUAGGCGGCCUUAACGGGUGGUCGCCCACACUGGGAUUGAGAUACGGCCCAGACUCCUACGGGAGGCAGCAGUCGAGAAUAGUCUACAAUGGUCGGAAGACUGAUAGUGCGACGCCGCGUGAACGAUGAAUCCCUUCGGGGUGUAAAGUUCUUUUAUAUGUGAGCAGUGCUUUCUAUGUGAACAGCAUGGGGAGAGAGAUAUUAGCAUAUGAAUAAGCAACGGCUAACUCCGUG
rnacentral:rRNA from 1 species